GAAGGCUUGGCCAGCUUCCAGACCCCAAGCUCACAGCUGCACAGUUGGCAUUUUUAAGAGACACCGUGGGGGGAGAAGAGGGCGAGUGCUUUGCAGAAGUGGCUGCUCUGGGACAGCAUCAGCUUGCUGCUGGAGGCCGUGCGGACCAGAAAUGAGGAGCUUGCCCAGACAUGGAAGAGGUCUGAGCAGUGGGCCACCAUCGAGCAGCUGUGCAGCACAGUUGGCGUGCAGCUCCCAGGUCUCCACGAGUACGGCGCCGUCGGGGGCUCCACACACGCGGCCACUGCAGCCAUGUGGGCCUGUCAGCACUGCACGUUCAUGAACCAGCCAGGCACAGGCCACUGCGAGAUGUGCAGCCUCCCCAGGACCUAGGGCGCCUGCCCUGUGCUGGCUAGGACCGGGCCCAGCCCAGCCCUUCCUGAAGCCAGAAGCGUUGCUGAGUGUGUUCCCCCUAACUGCCCCACAGUGGGCAGCCCUGGAGGGACAAGGGGCUGGCUGUCCUGGGCUCCCUGACCCACUGAAGCUUCUCAGCACGUUCCUCCCUGGAGAGCGGGCGCCACGGCUGGU
rnacentral:sRNA from 1 species